GCUAAGUCCGUUCGGCGGAA
rnacentral:snRNA from 1 species